CGGUCCCAUUCCGAACCCGGAAGCUAAGCCUGCCAGCGCCGAUGGUACUGCACUUUAGUCAGUGUGGGAGAGUAGGACACCGCCGAAC
rnacentral:rRNA from 1 species